CGGAGCUGCGACUCGCCUGAAAGGGAGCGAAGCUGGCCGAGCGAACUAGACUUUUUUUCAGGGACGCUUGGCGGCCGAGAGCGAGUGUUGCGAGACAACAAAAAGCUCGACCUCAAAUCAGGUAGGAAUACCCGCUGAACUUAAGCAUAUCAAUAAGCGGAGGAAAAGAAACCAACAGGAUUGCCUCAGUAGCGGCGAGUGAAGCGGCAAGAGCUCAGAUUUGAAAUCGUGCUUUGCGGCACGAGUUGUAGAUUGCAGGUUGGAGUCUGUGUGGAAGGCGGUGUCCAAGUCCCUUGGAACAGGGCGCCCAGGAGGGUGAGAGCCCCGUGGGAUGCCGGCGGAAGCAGUGAGGCCCUUCUGACGAGUCGAGUUGUUUGGGAAUGCAGCUCCAAGCGGGUGGUAAAUUCCAUCUAAGGCUAAAUACUGGCGAGAGACCGAUAGCGAACAAGUACUGUGAAGGAAAGAUGAAAAGCACUUUGAAAAGAGAGUGAAACAGCACGUGAAAUUGUUGAAAGGGAAGGGUAUUGCGCCCGACAUGGGGAUUGCGCACCGCUGCCUCUCGUGGGCGGCGCUCUGGGCUUUCCCUGGGCCAGCAUCGGUUCUUGCUGCAGGAGAAGGGGUUCUGGAACGUGGCUCUUCGGAGUGUUAUAGCCAGGGCCAGAUGCUGCGUGCGGGGACCGAGGACUGCGGCCGUGUAGGUCACGGAUGCUGGCAGAACGGCGCAACACCGCCCGUCUUGAAACAUGGACCAAGGAGUCUAACGUCUAUGCGAGUGUUUGGGUGUGAAACCCGUACGCGUAAUGAAAGUGAACGUAGGUCGGACCCCCUGCCCUCGGGGAGGGG
rnacentral:rRNA from 1 species